rnacentral:rRNA from 1 species
AUGGAGUUCUCCAUGGCUGACCACCCACCCUGUGUCAGAGGUGUGAGUGAUGAUGUGGCCAUCGCGGAGGCCGGCCAAGGCAUGACUGUGAUGUUUGUGCCUAAACCUAACACACCUCGCUUUACUUAUUCCGUUUGGCGAAACAACGGUGGGAGUUCCACCCAGUGGCAGAUGGAGGAGAAGACAAUCUCGCUGGAUUAUGGGUCCUUGCUCAUGGGUGCAGUGGGGAGGCACUUGCACCUGUAUCGUGGCUUGUUGGUCAAGCCAGGUUACUUCACACAGGACGUCAACACAUUCCAGCUUGAGAGGGUGUGUGAUGCAUCAUCACCCAAACAGUCACAUAUAUAUUGCAACUUCCCACCAUCGUUAUUAUCGUCACCAACAGUGUAA